UAAUGUCACUGUGGAAGGUAAACAAGAACUAAGCAGCAGGUCUGGAACAGAAACACUUCCUCUUACACUGAUUUGUGUAACCGUGUUCAUCAUUGUGAGUUUAGUUAUCUUUGGAUUUAUUUACGCACGACUGUGCGACAGUGGCUGUUCAAGGUCAGAAACAUCUGGACUAUACAGUGAAUGAGACUCAGUCUUUGCUGAGUAAUUUCCUUGUAAAGACAAAGCAGCAGGUUUAAAGUUUGUUUUAUAUCCAGUUCUAUUUCAAAAUGUUGGCUGAGGCUGUUUUUGUGAAGUUACUUUGAUUCAACACACCUUUGGUCACCUUGAGUUUUUUUUAUCAGACUUUUAAUUUUAGCUUACAGGAUGAAAAUGUGCAAAAUGACCUUUACACAAACCUUCAGUAUCCAACAAACGAUCUCUACCAAACUGUCACCUCAGAUCACCCAAAACACAAUGCAACUACAAAUCAAGCACAAUAGGUGUUGUUGUGAUUAGUGUUGGCCUUUAUAAUCAAACUCUUUAAUCUAUGUAAAUUUUAACAGUUAUAUAUAAUAUAUUUAUAUAUAAUAUGUGAAAUAAAUAAUAAUAACUGUAAGUGGCACAUGAGCAUUAGUGGUCUAAAAGAAAUUGUUUUGGAUGAUCAUUACAUGCCUUUACUGUCACUGUUUUGUAGUAACUGAGACCAUUAAGUCACGACACUCCAGCUCUUUGAAACAGGUUCACAGAUUUAUACGUGUAUACUCUGCAUAAGUGUGUUAACAGAAUACUAAUGUAAUAAACUGUGUUAAAUAUGACUCCUCCUGUAGCAUUUUUAAUGCACAUUCCUUUUACUGUCAUUGUGUUUAGUCACUAACAGAUGUUCUUGAUUGUGAUGUGUCAUUACUUCAGACUUUUCAGAUUCCAACAAUAAUUGUAAUCACCAUCCAGAUACACAGAGACAUCAGUCUGGUGUCUAGUCGUGGCUUAUAAAGUGUUGGUGAUGAAAAUUUAAAAUGUUUUUCUUUUGUAUUUAAGUGUUUGUGCUGUUUGACUUUGAGACUAACAAGAAACAACAGCUUACACGUGCAUUUCUAUUACAGAUAUUUAAGUUUAAGCAUUUCUGCUUUCAAAAUGCUCUACCACACAGUGCCUGCCGCAGUUACUUCCUCACCCAUAUGACUGUGUGGAAACUCUGCUCUUUGUCCUAAAAAGGUUAUUCUGUUUCUUGGUUUCAGUAGGAGAAAGGUGAGGAUUUCCUUACCUGGAUAAUUGAGCAUACACCAAGACAUCUUCUCUUUGUCCUGCUUCUGCUUUAUUAUA